rnacentral:rRNA from 1 species
CCUACGGGAUGCAGCAGUAGGGAAUAUUGCUCAAUGGGGGAAACCCUGAAGCAGCAACGCCGCGUGGAGGAUGACGGUUUUCGGAUUGUAAACCUCUUUUGUUAGAGAAGAUAAUGACGGUAUCUAACGAAUAAGCACUGGCUAACUCCGUGCCAGCAGCCGCGGUAAUACGGAGGGUGCAAGCGUUACUCGGAAUCACUGGGCGUAAAGCGCGCGUAGGCGGGAUAGCAAGUCAGAUGUGAAAUCCUUUGGCUUAACCAUAGAACUGCAUUUGAAACUGGUAUUCUAGAGUAUGGGAGAGGUAGGUGGAAUUCGUGGUGGAGGGGUAAAAUCCGUAGAGAUCAAGAGGAAUACUGAUUGCGAAGGCGACCUGCUAGAACAUAACUGACGGUGAUGCGCGAAAGCGUGGGGAGCAAACAGGAUGAGAUACCCUAGUAGUC